GACGAACGCUGGCGGCGUGCUUAACACAUGCAAGUCGAACGGAAAGGCCCUGCUUUUGUGGGGUGCUCGAGUGGCGAACGGGUGCGUAACACGUGAGUAACCUGCCCUUGACUUUGGGAUAACUUCAGGAAACUGGGGCUAAUACCGGAUAGGAGCUCCUGCUGCAUGGUGGGGGUUGGAAAGUUUCGGCGGUUGGGGAUGGAUUCGCGGCUUACCAGUUUGUUGGUGGGGUAGUGGCUUACCAAGGCUUUGACGGGUAGCCGGCCUGAGAGGGUGACCGGCCACAUUGGGACUGAGAGACGGCCCAGACUCCUACGGGAGGCAGCGGUGGGGAAUAUUGCACAAUGGGCGGAAGCCUGAGGCAGCAGCGCCGCGUGCGUGAUGACGGCCUUCGGGGUGUAAACCGCUGUCGCCUGUGACGAAGCGUGAGUGACGGUAAUGGGUAAAGAAGCACCGGCUAACUACGUG
rnacentral:rRNA from 1 species